rnacentral:lncRNA from 1 species
UUCUAUUCCCUCCUGUUUGUGUACAACAAGAUUCACAAAAAAAACUAAUAAGAUUUGUAGGGGUGAUGGUGCGGGACUAUAUCAAGAAUUAGAUCAACUGAAAAUCAGGUUCGUCCCUUCUUCUUCUUUAUCUCAUUUCAAGUUUUUUGGGUUGAAAGAUGUUUGAAAGGUCAAAUUUUGCUGUUGGGUUGUGUUGGAACUUCAUAAGGGUUAGGAUAAUGGCUGUUUUUGAAGAAGUUGAUCAUAGUGAAGAGUCACCAGAGUUGCCAACGACAGAAAUACGAGAUAACAUCGAUGAAGGAGAAGGCUUUCAGGCAAAUGAGUCAAUGGGGUCAACGAUAAUGUUGUGGAAAAAUAUGAGUAUAGGGAAAUGGAUGAAAAAACCGGUUGUAAUUACAACCGGAGAGUAUGUUCUUUGCUCCAGCUGGGUAUAAUAAAGUAAUGAAAUUAGGAACCAGGUGUUAUAUCCAGAAAGCAGUCGAGAAAUUGGAGUCUCUAAAGCUUAGUGCUGACGAGCUCAGCUGGUUUAAAGAUCACCCAAACUUCAAGCAUUUCUGGCACAUGUCUAGUGCAUCUAAAACAGACCCAACACAUUAGUUGAUGGGCAUGUGGAUGUUGCUUGUUUGGACAGCAAGUACAAACAAAAGGAAGGAAUGUUGGUUUGUUGUUAGUGGCGUUCCCAUCCGAUAUUCACUUGAGAGAGCACACACUGAUAUCAGGAUUAGACUGCUGUCCAUAUUCAGAUAACUUUAAGAAUUUAGGCAGUGGUGAUUUUGCUAGGAGGAACUUUAAGAAAAGCAUAGUUCUCUCAUAUGCUGUUGUUGAAGAAACUGGAGACGAUGCCAGGUAGUCAAGAGGACAUGUUGAAAAUGUGUGUCGUUUUCUUCUUGUCGAGCAUAAUUAGUGGGAAGGCGUAGACCGGCAAGGGAGCACCAUUUAUGGAGCCAUUUUCGUUAGAAUUGUUGAUUAUCUUGAGGCGUGCCAAACUUUCCCGUGGGGAAUGCUUUCAUUCGAGGUCAAUAUGAGGAAAACUGGUCAUACAAUGAAGCAUUUCAAUGGCGUCGCGGAUUGGUGGGCCUAGGGUUGCUCGUCUUUUUGCAAGCACAUUGGUCCGAAGUUUUAAAUUUAUAAAAUCCUAGUGUCUGCAAGUGCACAGAUGUACGUUGUAGGACUUAGCGUGUCGAUCUGGAAUAACACAGAUGUCUAAUCUGCAAUAACACCAAACUGGGAGAGUAAGCAAAGUCAUAAACUCAUGGGGGUUUGGAAUUUUUGGUUAUGGGUCCUAAACUAAACCUAAUAUAAUAUUUACAGGAAAUAAAAUGCAAUGCAAAUGAAUUACUAAAAGAAUAUCCAAAGGAUAUUCGACUCAAACUAUAGACUCUAUACUCAAACUAUAGACUCUAUACUCAAACUAUAGACUCUAUACUCAAACUAUAGACUCUAGACUCAUAGUGGGCGAUUUAAACUUCUCUGGUUUACUCUAAUCGAUGUCAAAGCAUUACCAAUUAGCCUCCGUGCGAUUUAUCUUCAUAUGUUUUCUGGAAUCUGCAUGGAAUGGAAUAGACAUGUGUAUGAUUAACCAACUCUCGCCAUCUUAAUCAACUAAUCACUUAAAUAUGACAAUUAUCUCUCGCUCUCAUGCCAGAAAUAAGAUCAUGCAUUAACUAUUGAAUUUUUUUUGCUCACAUCUUCUCUACAAGUAGAUCUUGACUCCUGUAGCGACUAUGUUCUUUUGAAGCUAGGUAUGGAUGAUCUGAUACAGCACUCUCUUGGCUCUGAUCGAUCCUAGGCUCAGAGAAUAGGUCAUGAAUAUACUCUCAUGCAAUAUGAACAACUUAGAAGAGAUGAGAUCCAGAAUAUGGUUUAGACACUUAGAAAUCCUAAUCGAACAUGUAUGCCUAUCGAUGACUCUUUAGCAAGUUGACUCUCUGGGACAUAUCUACAUGAUGCAAAGAAUGAUAAAAGACAUGAAAGAAUGCAAAAGAUGAAACAGGAAAGUUAAUUAGAUAGAAAGGAAAAAGAACAAUGGAUCCAGGGAAAAAUCCCCUUCUCCAUCGCCUAACCCUAGAAAAACAAUGUUUGGUGGCUCAAAAUCUCAUUACAGGAGCACACACCCGUUUAGGACUGCUAAGAAAUGUAUUUAUAGGUCCUAAGGUCUUCCAGGUCUCAUUUAGGGUUUCUCUGAAAAGGAAUGGUGAAAUGGGAUUUGAUGUUGGGCCUUGUGGCUCAGCAUGGGUCCACCGGGGGUGAGAGUCUUCCGGGGCAGGUAAAAUGCUUAUUUGCCGCGGGUGAGAGUCUUCCGUGACUGGUGAAUUUGGUCAACUUGUUUUUCAUGUAUCUUUUGAUUGCACCGUUGGAUCUUUCUGAUGUAAAGUGCUAUGGAAAACGGGUUGUCUCCUCUUGAAUGUCUCCAAAAUUGAGUUGGAUCAGACGGUGAGAAAGUCUUCAUUUGAGGCUGAACUUCUGACGGUCUGACUCUGAGCCAAAAAUGUGAAUUUGUUCCAUUUUGCCAUCUUUUUCCCAAAUUUUCCUGAAAAGAGCCUUGAAACUACAAAUAUAUAGAAAUUAUUAUAAAACUUCCUAAAAAUGAUUAAAACAUUUGAAAAAGCAUUUGAAAUCAAUGCUGAAAAUGAGUACAAAUACGGUGUUAUCAACUCCCCUAGACAUAGACUUUGUUUGUCCUCAAACAAAACAAGAUCUAAUCUGGAAAAAUAUCAUCAACUGAAAUCUGGGGGAACUCAAAAAUAUCAGCAACCAUACCUAUAGACCUUAAUUAUGGACAAUGCAUCAAUCAGAUUAAGUCUAGAAAAUUCUCACCAAAAUACCAACAUCACUAAUCCGUUAAUCCAUCAUGCAAAAAUCUACACACUUAGAACUAACUUCUAGUCAACUUGCUCUUAACAUUCAUUAAAGGUUUCAGUGAUUCUCAUCAAAAGGAUAUUAAACAAGGCAUUCAAGGCUAGGUAUCAAAAGGCUUUUUAGUGGUGAGGCUUGAUGUGUUUAGGGUUACUUUUUUUUUCUGGAGAGACAUGAUAUUAUGCAAAACAGCAAGAGAGGAUGGACCUAUUGAUACCCACAAUUUCCAGUCACAUUCUCCUUGUUUCAAGAUUUCUGAUCUCUUUUCUUCAGGUUCUCCUUAUAACUCCUCAGACUUGGAUUUUUGUCCAGGUUGUGAAUCCAUAACUCCUUAAGUGAAUACCUAUUACCUUUGCUCAAAUGAUUUCGGCUUCUAAGACUCUUUAGGCUCUUGGUUUCAAUUCUUUUCUUUUUUCUUUCUCUUUUUUCGUUUUUUUUUUGGGAAAGGGGAAACUGCCUGUUGACUUAGAGUCUUACGGAGCACGAAAAUUACCUUCAAGAAUGAGCUUUUUAAAACAUCAUGAGGCUUGCUGAGGUUGCAUGGUACACUUCCUUCCCGGUUUCAUUCAGUCCUUCUCUUUAGUGACUGAAAACUAUGUUGUUCCUCCUUCUCCGGCGUUUUUGCACAUAUCUGUCGACAUAGAAUUAAAAGAGAAUGCAUGAGGUUUGAACAUGAAUGUUUGUUAAGGGUAAGGUACCAGCAAAAUAUGAACUGGCCAUCUAGGACAACAAAGAGUCUAACAAUAAGGUAAAGAUGUCCUACAUGUAUAUCAUGAUGCCUUCUUAAAACCAUUGAUGAGAAAAUUAGAUGUCAAGAUUAAGUCCAAGUAAAAUGAGCUACUAUAUCCUGUCAGAAAAGAUCUCUAUGAAUAGAAGUUCUCUGGUGGGAUUUCGUAGUGCAAGUACUCUAACUACCGCCUAGUCUAGUACUAAACCUUGAAAGAGCUUUUUAUGAACUGAUGGUGAAGAAGCAGACUGGUUGGUUAUCAUCAUUGAUUUUAUCAUUAUUCCCUCAAAAUGUAUUUGACCUUUGAAAACACUUUUUUAAACUCAAAAGAUUUUUGAAAAGCUUUAAGAAAACCGAAAAAAUGAAAAAUUUUAUAGAAAAAUGCAGAAUACAAGGGCUAAUACAAGAAAAGGUGACCGUAAGGGAUGGAUUCUCCCCCAGACCUAAAUCACACUGCCCCCAGUGUGAAAAAAGUCAAGCAAGGAUGAGAAAUAGAGUAUGUAAAAUUUUUAAAAGAUGAAGAAAAAGAAAACUUACCUGGUGUUGGUGAUGGGUUGUGUGAGGUGGUUGUGGAGGUGUUAGGAUGUUGAAUGAUGGAUGGUGGUUGAUGUGGAGUGGUGCUUGAUCAAAUUUGGAUUGAUUUGAAUCAAGGUAGAGGUUGAAAUGGCCAAGGGUGGCCGGACUGAUGCUGGCCACAAGCCAAGGUGUCACGGCCGUGGCAAAAUGCUUCCUGGCCGCAGCUGAACCUCUCUCGGCCGCGUUCAGCUCCUUUUCUUCUCUUCUUUUUUUUUUUGAAGGCAUACUAAUGCCUAAAAUGAAAACAAAACUUCAGUAGAAAAAAAUGUUAAACAAAAACAAAUAAGUACCUAAAUGGGUUGCCUCCCAUCAAGCGCUUUGGUUUAUAAUCCUUAGCUAGACUUUGCAAAGAAAAAAACUUAGUUCAAAUAGGAUCUUGUCCUAAGACAAGUCCUUUUCGAAAUCCUCCUGUUCUCUCUUGCAGGUUCUUCAUCACUCCAAAGUUCUUCUGGUUUAAAUGCCUGAGCUUUAUGCUUUCUUCCUUUGCUCUUAAGCAGUGUAGCUUCAUAGAAGAUAUCCUUGUCGAUAUUUGUAAAAGAAACUCUCCGGUUGGGCCAAUCCAUGAUGGCUCCAGCAGUUGUUAAGAAAAGCCAUCCAAGGAUAACUGAAUAUGAGUCAUCUUUGGUAUUUACUAUGUAUAGAUCGAGAGGUGCUAUCAAUCUCUAAUCCUUAGAGGAAUAUCUCGGGCUAUCCCUCUUGGGAUUGCACUUGAAUCAUCUGCUAAAAUAAUCUUUGUCCUGGUACUUGAAAUGUGCUUAAUGCCAAGUCUCAAAGCAGUAGCUUUGGACAUCAUAUUAAUGCAAGCUCCAGAAUCACAAAGAAUAUUGAUGAAUCUUUCACCUGUAAUGUCACAAGAGAUAAGAAAUUGACCUUUGUCUUGAACUUUGUGCAGAAUUCGAACUGGUCUUUCCUGUGGAUGGUCUGGUUCUUCAAAUGCAGAGUAAGAGUCACAUUAAAACUUUGCUGCAUCAAAACAUAUGAUUGAAUAUAUGUAAG